CCGCCGGAGAACCACCUUUUUUCACCAAAUCGAAAAUUCGGAUCACCACCAUCACCUCUCCGGUCACCACCAUCACUUCUCCGGUCACCACCUCGUCUCCGCGGUCUAUAUCUACUUGAAAGCUUGAAAUUACGUUGCAUAAUGCCUAUCGAUAAAAGUUGGAUUGAUUCCCCACGUCAUUCACCUCACUACAAGCAAGGACUCGAGUCAUUUAUCGAGAUGUGUGAAAGAGUGAUAAAAAACC